rnacentral:rRNA from 3 species
GAAUGCUGACAUAAGUAACGAUAAAGCGGGUGAAAAGCCCGCUCGCCGGAAGACCAAGGGUUCCUGUCCAACGUUAAUCGGGGCAGGGUGAGUCGACCCCUAAGGCGAGGCCGAAAGGCGUAGUCGAUGGGAAACGGGUUAAUAUUCCCGUACUUGGUGUUACUGCGAAGGGGGGACGGAGAAGGCUAUGUUGGCCGGGCGACGGUUGUCCCGGUUUAAGCGUGUAGGUGUGUGUUCCAGGUAAAUCCGGUUCACUUUAACACUGAGGCGUGAUGACGAGGCACUACGGUGCUGAAGCAACAAAUGCCCUGCUUCCAGGAAAAGCCUCUAAGCAUCAGGUAACAUCAAAUCGUACCCCAAACCGACACAGGUGGUCAGGUAGAGAAUACCAAGGCGCUUGAGAGAACUCGGGUGAAGGAACUAGGCAAAAUGGUGCCGUAACUUCGGGAGAAGGCACGCUGACACGUAGGUGAAGUGAUUUACUCAUGGAGCUGAAGUCAGUCGAAGAUACCAGCUGGCUGCAACUGUUUAUUAAAAACACAGCACUGUGCAAACACGAAAGUGGACGUAUACGGUGUGACGCCUGCCCGGUGCCGGAAGGUUAAUUGAUGGGGUCAGCGCAAGCGAAGCUCCUGAUCGAAGCCCCGGUAAACGGCGGCCGUAACUAUAACGGUCCUAAGGUAGCGAAAUUCCUUGUCGGGUAAGUUCCGACCUGCACGAAUGGCGUAAUGAUGGCCAGGCUGUCUCCACCCGAGACUCAGUGAAAUUGAACUCGCUGUGAAGAUGCAGUGUACCCGCGGCAAGACGGAAAGACCCCGUGAACCUUUACUAUAGCUUGACACUGAACAUUGAGCCUUGAUGUGUAGGAUAGGUGGGAGGCUUUGAAGUGUGGACGCCAGUCUGCAUGGAGCCGGCCUUGAAAUACCACCCUUUAAUGUUUGAUGUUCUAACGUGGACCCGUGAUCCGGGUUGCGGACAGUGUCUGGUGGGUAGUUUGACUGGGGCGGUCUCCUCCUAAAGAGUAACGGAGGAGCACGAAGGUUGGCUAAUCCUGGUCGGACAUCAGGAGGUUAGUGCAAUGGCAUAAGCCAGCUUGACUGCGAGCGUGACGGCGCGAGCAGGUGCGAAAGCAGGUCAUAGUGAUCCGGUGGUUCUGAAUGGAAGGGCCAUCGCUCAACGGAUAAAAGGUACUCCGGGGAUAACAGGCUGAUACCGCCCAAGAGUUCAUAUCGACGGCGGUGUUUGGCACCUCGAUGUCGGCUCAUCACAUCCUGGGGCUGAAGUAGGUCCCAAGGGUAUGGCUGUUCGCCAUUUAAAGUGGUACGCGAGCUGGGUUUAGAACGUCGUGAGACAGUUCGGUCCCUAUCUGCCGUGGGCGCUGGAGAACUGAGGGGGGCUGCUCCUAGUACGAGAGGACCGGAGUGGACGCAUCACUGGUGUUCGGGUUGUCAUGCCAAUGGCACUGCCCGGUAGCUAAAUGCGGAAGAGAUAAGUGCUGAAAGCAUCUAAGCACGAAACUUGCCCCGAGAUGAGUUCUCCCUGAGACUUAGAGUCUCCUGAAGGAACGUUGAAGACGACGACGUUGAUAGGCCGGGUGUGUAAGCGCAGCGAUGCGUUGAGCUAACCGGUACUAAUGAACCGUGAGGCUUAACCUUACA